rnacentral:rRNA from 1 species
AACGAACGCUGGCGGCAGGCUUAACACAUGCAAGUCGAACGCAUCCUUCGGGGUGAGUGGCAGACGGGUGAGUAACGCGUGGGAACGUGCCCUUCAGUUCGGGAUAACCCAGGGAAACUUGGGCCAAUACCGGAUACGUGCGAGAGCAGAAAGAUUUAUCGCUGAAGGAUCGGCCCGCGUCUGAUUAGCUAGUUGGUGGGGUAAUGGCCCACCAAGGCGACGAUCAGUAGCUGGUCUGAGAGGAUGAUCAGCCACAUUGGGACUGAGACACGGCCCAAACUCCUACGGGAGGCAGCAGUGGGGAAUAUUGGACAAUGGGCGCAAGCCUGAUCCAGCCAUGCCGCGUGAGUGAUGAAGGCCUUAGGGUUGUAAAGCUCUUUCGUCCGGGACGAUAAUGACGGUACCGGAAGAAGAAGCCUCGGCUAACUUCGUGCCAGCCGCCGCGGUAA